rnacentral:rRNA from 1 species
UGGCGGCAAUAGCGCGGUGGUCCCACCUGACCCCAUGCCGAACUCAGAAGUGAAACGCCGUAGCGCCGAUGGUAGUGUGGGGUC